CAGGGAGAUACUGAUGGAGACAGUCUGAUUUCAAGGGAACCUGUAGAUUGUAGAAGUUAUGAUUGUGAAAAAGUCCAAAAGAGAGCGCACAGGCCACCUCUUCUUUACUCUUCACGCUCAGUAGAGGCUCCAGCACCGCACACAAAGUCCGGUAGUUAUUGGUAACAUACUCGGCAAACUCCUUGUACAGCUCCAUGGGCAGGAUGCUCAUGGUCUGGUAACGGGACUUGAGGCGUAGGGAGGCAUUGAUGAUCUUGCCCCCUGCUUGCCCCUUGGCCAGGAUGCUAGGCUGGAUGACCGGGUACCACUGCUCCACAAACUGUCGGCCCGUGAUGCUGGAGAUAGGGAUACUGACCAGUCCCAGUCUCCUUGUAGAGAUGAAGGCGUAGGUUGCGGACGGCUGGCAAGUUGUUGAACUCAAAGUGCUCACCCCAGAACACGGUGUCAGUCCGGGGCUUGCUGGUGGUGCGUGCGUAAAGCAUGUCGUCCAGACAAAGUUCGCAGUAGUAGCGCUUCUUGGCGGGAAGCUCCCGCGCCUCGAUGAUCCAGAGUUUCAGCACGUUGUCCACCCUCCGACUGUUGUCCUGAAGAGGGGCAAAGAGAGGGUGGCAAAGGGACAAGGCAGAACAGGGAGGAACGAAAACCAAAGGGAAAAAGACCAAAGAGAAAAAGAAAGCCAAAGAGAGAGGGAGGGUUGGGUAGGUUAAGAACAGUGGUGUAAAGUACUUAAGUUGUUUUUUGGGGUAUCUGUACUUUACUAUUCAUAUUUUUUGCAACUUUUACUUUACAUUCCAAAAGAAAAUAAUGUACUUUUUAAUCCAUACAUUUUCCCUGACACCCAAAAGUACUCGUUACAUUUUGACAGGAAAAUGGUCCAAUUCACACACUUAUCAAGAGAACAUCCCUGGUCAUCCCUACUGCUUCUGAUCUGGCGGACUCACUAAACACAAACGCUUCGUUUGUAAAUUAUGUCUGAGUGUUGGAGUACACCCCUGGCUAUUCGUCAAUAAAAAUUUAAAAA